CAUUGUUUACCAUACAGUUUAUGGUGACUGGUGUUGUGGAGGGGAUUUUUAUUAGUUAUGUAUUUGUCCCUACAAUGAUCAUCUUUAAUAUGUGACAGUUGCUGUAAAUUUAAAGGAUGGAUAUACUGGAUGGGUUGUGGAAGCUAGAAAUGAUUCCUUUAUUUUAUACCUGAGUAAUAAUCAAAUUCAUUUUUUCCCCAUGACCAUUAUAAUUAGGUUCCUCAUUCUGCAAGUUAACUGUGAUAAUAAAUACUGGAUACUUGGCAUGUUUUCUCAAGUAUGAAGAUAAAAACUUAUACUCAAUGUGUAAAUUAUAGCUGUACACAGGCCCAGAUGUAUGGUUAUUAGUGUUGAUUAAAUCAAUAGGACUUCUUGUCAUUUCUAUUACAGAUGUUCCAGAAACCGCUUAAAUCACUUCUUCUGUCCUCCAUAAAUAAAAUAAGUACAUUUUAAAUUCACAAAUUUAAAUGUAAUGUAAGAAAUUACUCUGUUGGAGCCUUUCUUUGAAGGUCCACAUAUAAAUAAACAACACAACCAGUACUGAGAAAGUACGGAUGUAUUGGGUUUGCUUAGAUGCUUCAUGGUCCCUAAACAUUUGGUCUAGUGUCUCUGGCUAAAUGCCAGCAACAAAUUACAUUUUUUGUACAAUUCUGAGCUUACUUUUUCCCUCCUCAGACAUGCUCUACAAAAUGUACUCAUAAGACAUCACAUUUGAAUUGCAAAUUUGUAUAUGAAUAUUGUUUUACAAGUAGCUGGGAAAGAAACCAAAGGGGAACAUUCCCCCAAUUUGUUAGCAAGCUGUGUACAUAUUUGUAACUGAUGUUCAUCUUGACCAUACAGCCAUCAGUAUUCUGUGGAAUAAAUCAGAUCAUUUU